UCUCCAGAGGAGAGAGGAUCUCUACCUGUGGCUUCAUAUUCAUCAACUGCACCUUACUUAAUGGGACACACAUAUCAGAGUGGGUGUUUGAAGCCAAUAACACACUGUGUAUUAACCCAACUACUGCCCCUACCACUAGUUUGGGUACGAAGACUACCAUAGUGUCAAAUAAACCCUCCAAUCAAACUUUGACCAGUAAUGAACCAUGGUACAUUACCUAUUUACCACUAAUAGUUGGUGUACCCUCAGCCCUGGUCAUUGUCUUGGUUGUGGGCUUAUCAGUCAUCUGGGCUCAGAGGAAAAAGAAAAGACACAACAAACCUAAAGAGGAGCAGCAGCAGAGGAGGCAGGCUGAGCAAAGGCCGAAUGUGGAGGUGGAGUACGGUCGAGUCAAGCCACGACCCCGGAAGACUGAACCAACACAAGAUGAUUGUGUUUAUGCAAAUGUCCAUUAAGACUGUUGAUUUAAAGAUUUACUUCGGGAAAAAAAAGAAGAGGAAAAUGUUGGAGGCUCUUAAUAUAAAUGUUACUAUCAUAAGAAAAUUAAAUGAAAGACAGACAGAGGCCUCCACCAUAUAAAGAGACCAGACAUGUAUUUAUUUGUGUCACACCGUGGUGAGGGUGUCUUGUCUUGGGGUUGUUUUGUCAUGUCAUUUCCUGUUUUAUUUUGAAAAGUAACUCUCCUCUUGUUUCAGGUCACUU